rnacentral:tRNA from 1 species
GCGGGGGUGCCUGAGAGGCGAAAGGGCAGGACUUAAGAUCCUGUGGCCGUAGGGCCCUCGAGGGUUCGAAUCCCUCCCCCCGCACCA